CAAAAACUCUUUCUUCACACAAAAAAGUCAUCUGUGGACGACACGCAGCGUCAAAUUUGCGAUAUUUUCCCAAAUUUUCAAUAUUUCUACCGCGAAAAAUCGCUUCAAUUAUUGUGUAGUUUGUUUUCCCGGUCGCCAGCUCCAUUUUGCUGGUGGUUUGAUUAUUUUUAGUUCCAAGCAAGAUUAUUUGAUUUGCCCAUCGCGUGACCCCUCCGGGCUCAGAUUUACAGAACAAAGCGAAGAAGCAUAAAUUCCCUUCCCUAGAAAUUGAAACGCUAAUAGAAGGGGGUACAAACGAGUUUUGCAAAAUUGAAGACACUCAGAAGGGAGACAAACAAACUAGAAGGCGCCCGUGGUCAAGAUUCGCGCUUUUUGUGUGGAAGCUGCUGCCGGUGCGUGAAACAUAGUUUUCCUCUCGGUUUCGUAGAACAUCCACGCACACGGAUUUUUGGCCUUUCUCUUGUCGUUCUUUUGCGGCGCGAAUUAGUUCGCGACCAAAUUGUAACGGGACUCUUCACGACAGCAGACAGUAGCCAGCGGUCAGCAGCAGCUUUCGAAGCGUAACAACAGAGAACACAAAACUCCAGCGACAAAAUGACGUGGGAACCGCAGCCAGAUGGAUUGAACCAGAUCAUCACCCUGCUGAAACAAUCGCAAUCGACAGACAAUGCGAUUCAGCGUGCCGUACAGAUGAAACUUGAAGAACUGAACCAGUUCCCAGAUUUUAACAACUAUUUGAUUUACGUGCUAACCAAACUGAAGACCCAAGAUGAACCCACACGAUCUUUGUCGGGUCUAAUUCUGAAGAACAACAUCCGCAUCCACGGAACUCAACUUCAGCCGGCGAUUAUUGAGUAUAUCAAGCAAGAAUGUUUGAUGGCCCUGGGAGAUCCAUCGCCUCUAAUCCGGGCGACAGUGGGAAUCCUGAUCACCACCAUAGCUAACAAGGGAGGCCUCCAGACGUGGCCCGAAUUGCUUCCGACGCUUUGUGACAUGCUCGAUUCACAGGAGUACAGCGUUUGCGAAGGUUCUUUCGGCGCAUUGCAGAAAAUUUGCGAAGAUUCGGCCGACACCUUGGACAGCGCUGCCCUGAAUCGCCCACUGAACAUCAUGAUUCCGAAAUUCCUGCAAUUUUUCCGCCACUCGAGCCCUAAGAUUCGCUCUCACGCAAUUGCUUGUAUCAACCAGUUCAUUAUCAACCGAACGCAAGCGCUGAUGCUGCACAUCGAUACGUUCAUCGAGAAUCUGUUCCACCUUUCCUCGGAUGAGGACCGCGAGGUUCGGAAGAACGUCUGCCGAGGUUUGGUCAUGCUGCUGGAAGUGCGAAUGGACCGUUUGAUGCCCCAUAUGAACAGCAUCAUCGAGUACAUGCUGAUUCGUACGCAAGAUCCCGACGAAACAGCCCUAGAGGCGUGCGAAUUUUGGCUUUCUUUGGCGGAGCAGACAAUUUGCAAGGAAGCACUUACGCCUCAUUUGGCCCAGUUGGCGCCGGUGCUCGUUCGGGGUAUGAGAUACUCGGAUAUCGAUAUAAUCAUCUUGAAGGGUGAUGUCGAAGAGGAUGAAAUGAUUCCAGAUCGCGAAGAAGAUAUCAAACCACGGUUCCACAAAUCGCGAACACAUACACAGAAGGCAGGUAACAUGAACUCGCAGGAUCAAGGUUCAAGACCCAUGGAAGGAAACGACGAAGAAGAAGACAUGGACGAUCCUUAUGACGAUAUGGACGAUGACAGCAAUCUGUCCGACUGGAAUCUGCGUAAAUGUAGCGCAGCAGCAUUGGAUGUUCUAGCAAAUGUCUUCAAGGACGAUUUCCUCCCGAUCCUGUUACCUAUUCUGAAGGAAACAUUGUUCCAUCAAGAUUGGCAGAUCAAGGAAAGUGGAAUCUUGGCCUUGGGUGCUAUCGCCGAAGGAUGCAUGAAUGGAAUGAUUCCUCAUUUGCCAGAAUUGAUUCCGUAUCUGAUUUCGUGUCUCUCGGACAAGAAAGCACUGGUACGGGCGAUAACUUGUUGGACACUCUCUCGAUAUGCCCAUUGGGUUGUCAGUCAGCCGCACGAUCAAUACUUGAAACCUCUGAUGGAGGAACUGCUCAAGCGCAUCCUCGAUGCGAACAAACGUGUUCAGGAAGCAGCUUGCUCGGCAUUCGCCACUCUCGAAGAAGAAGCAUGCACGGAAUUGGUUCCUUAUCUUGGAUUCAUACUGAAAACUUUGGUAUUUGCCUUCGGGAAAUACCAACACAAAAAUCUUCUCAUCUUGUACGACGCCAUUGGCACAUUGGCAGACUCCGUUGGUCAUCAUUUGAACAAACCAGAGUAUAUCAACAUGUUGAUGCCACCGUUGAUUCAAAAGUGGAACAUGCUCAAAGACGAAGACAAAGAUCUGUUUCCACUGUUGGAGUGUUUAUCCAGUGUGGCCACAGCUUUGCAGUCCGGAUUCCUUCCAUACUGCGAACCGGUGUACAGAAGAUGUAUAUCGUUGAUACAGCAAACUUUGAAUCAGGAUCUAGCCAGCACUGCGAGUCCCGGACAGUUUGAGCUACCAGAUAAGGAUUUCAUGAUUGUGGCUCUGGAUUUACUUUCCGGCCUGGCAGAGGGACUCGAUGGCCACAUUGAAUCCUUGGUGGUCAGUAGUAACAUCAUGCAGCUUCUCUACCAGUGUAUGCAGGAUUCCAUGCCAGAAGUACGGCAGUCUUCGUUUGCACUACUCGGAGACUUGACAAAGGCAUGCUUCCAGCACGUCCAUCCAUUUAUUGCAGACUUUUUACCUAUUUUGGGCCAAAAUUUGAAUCCGGAAUACAUUUCAGUAUGCAAUAAUGCCACCUGGGCCAUCGGUGAAAUCAGCAUCAAACUACGUGAAGACACGAAGCCGUACAUUCCUUUGGUGCUGGCACAGCUGAUUGAAAUCAUCAACAAUCCUAAUACACCCAAAACACUUUUGGAAAACACCGGUGUUCAUCACUCCGAAACAUCCGGGAUAACGAAGAGAAAGACUCCGCCUUCCGUGGUAUGUGCCAAAUGAUUACCGUCAAUCCGGUUGGAGUGGUGCCCGAUUUCAUCUUUUUCUGCGACGCUGCAGCAUCGUGGAUGAACCCGAAACCAGAUUUGCACGAGAUGCUUCAAAAGAUUCUGCUGGGCUUCAAGACCCAAGUGGGAGAGGAAAAUUGGAGUCGGUUUGUCGAACAAUUUCCUCAGCAGCUCAGCGAGCGAUUGGCACUGAUGUAUAGCAUCUAAGCUGAAAUGUAACGACGGUUUUGCGAUCCAUGCAGCGGUAUGUAGAGGCGCAUUUUAAUGUUCUUCUUUGGAAUAUCAAAAAUAUUGUGUUUGAGAACAUUACAAACCUUAGCAUCACAGUUGGAGUGGGUCUAGGAUGGGAAGGGUUAUUUUUACAAAGGCAGUAUAAUGCAUUCGAUGUUUCGAGAAUUUUUUGACUCUAUACUAAUUGUGGUAUCAAUAGCAGUAGGUGCGUAGCUGAAAUUUUGAAUACCAUUGAAAUUUUUGACUUCAUAAGUUAAAACAGUACUACUAUAGUAAAUCACGUGGUAGAGUGAAGUGCUGCAAAUUUGUUGUAUACAAUUGCAUUUUUAUAUCAUGGAAGUUCGUAGAAUCUUUUGUUUUAAAAUUGGCUGUUUUUAUUUGAAAAGUUUCAGCUUGUCACGUCUUACCAUUUCGAAGAAAAAAUAAAAAAAUCAAAAUCAUAAAAUUUUCUUAUUAGGCAAGCCACUCCAACUAAUCAAAUGAUAUAGUAACUCUAGCUCGCAAUCGUAAGUCUGCUUCGCAUUCUACACAAACGUACUAAAUGCUGAAGUUAGUCACAUUUUAGCGCUGAACAUCAUAGUUAUUGAAAAAGCGAUUUACCAAUACUUCCUCAAUCAUGAAAAUUCCUUCUCAUUAUAUCCUUCCUAGCAAAAGCGAAAUGAGCAAAACAAAACUCCUUACUGGAGACUUCUGAUCCUGUUUUAUAAUUCGAAAUGUUUAGUAACUAUCUUGAUUUAUUACACUAAUAUAGAGUUGAGACAUCAAUGGUUCUACUUCUAGAAUCGAAUAAAGAUUAAUUAUUUUGUACCGUGUAUGCAGAGUGAAUGGGGGUGUGCAAGGAAUUGAGCGUGAGUGGAAACAUUUUAGUUAACAAAGGUAAUCAAAACGAGCAAACGGUUUUGAACUCAAUGCUAGAUGUGUUAGUAGCAUUUCUGUCAAUCGUUGGGCAAAGAUUAGUUUGCUCUUACUCCUUUCGCCAAAAUCACGGCGAUGAUGAAAAGGCCGUCUCUUCACAUCAUUAUCAACGUGCACUGUACAUACGAAAGGAAACCUGAAGACGAGAAAGAGGCGAUCUACGUGUAACAGUAGCAGAUAUAGGUACAACGGAUGUUUGCCGCGUGACGUGAAAAUCGUGUUUGACGGCAUAGACACUGAUACGAAAAAAAGGAAAUAUAGAGACGGGUAACGAUCAGCGAUGCGUUAACUUUGCAGCCUUUCAAGGUCCCCACAAAAAUAUUUAUAAGGGGGAACAGGUCAUUUGGCAUAACGCCAUUCGGCUUAAUGGCCUUUUAACAUAAUGGCCAUUUAGCAUAAUCAGAAAUAUAGUACUUCUUUCAAAAGAUGGCUGUUCUUGAUAAAAAAUGUGAUGCCAAAUAUCUAUUAUGCUAAAUGACCGUUAUGCCUACUGUCCGUUAUGUCAAAUGACCUAUAUAAGGUCACUUGAAUGUCAACUCCGGCUUCACCAAUGAUCACUCACCACCUAAUUACUUGAUGCAUUCCUCGGUGGUACCGUGACCUGCUCUAAUUCCGUGUGUUGCCUAAUACCGGGUAUUUGUGAAUUAUGUGGAUUUCUAACAUCCUAUUUUUCUAAAUGAUUGUCACAAACGUUAGCUAAUUAAGUAGUAUUUAGAAAGCCAUGACAAA